rnacentral:rRNA from 1 species
CGCGGCAAGACGGAAAGACCCCGUGAACCUUUACUAUAGCUUGACACUGAACAUUGAGCCUUGAUGUGUAGGAUAGGUGGGAGGCUUAGAAGUGUGGACGCCAGUCUGCAUGGAGCCGACCUUGAAAUACCACCCUUUAAUGUUUGAUGUUCUAACGUUGACCCGUAAUCCGGGUUGCGGACAGUGUCUGGUGGGUAGUUUGACUGGGGCGGUCUCCUCCUAAAGAGUAACGGAGGAGCACGAAGGUUGGCUAAUCCUGGUCGGACAUCAGGAGGUUAGUGCAAUGGCAUAAGCCAGCUUGACUGCGAGCGUGACGGCGCGAGCAGGUGCGAAAGCAGGUCAUAGUGAUCCGGUGGUUCUGAAUGGAAGGGCCAUCGCUCAACGGAUAAAAGGUACUCCGGGGAUAACAGGCUGAUACCGCCCAAGAGUUCAUAUCGACGGCGGUGUUUGGCACCUCGAUGUCGGCUCAUCACAUCCUGGGGCUGAAGUAGGUCCCAAGGGUAUGGCUGUUCGCCAUUUAAAGUGGUACGCGAGCUGGGUUUAGAACGUCGUGAGACAGUUCGGUCCCUAUCUGCCGU